CAAUUAGACCAGGACAGAUCUAACCUGACCAGCAGACUAACCCUUCGAUGGAUUGACAAUAUGAUGGCACCACCGGGUGGAAGUGAUACAAAACUGUGCAUACUGUCAACCAAGAAAUACUGAAGAUUAAAAAUGACGCCCAGACGCUUUUACCUGGAUGUUUAAUGGGUGUGCAAGUCGGGAAGACAUAGGUCUACUCGAGACAGAACCUACCUCUGCAGAGGUUAGGUGGGACCCACGUUUAUAUUACCCAAAGGACUCAUCCUUCUUCUGACAAGAGGGGCAAGGGACCUACUUAGAAGAGCUGGGAGGCCCGCCGUCAUCCUGGGACCACGCCGUCACAAUCCGGGCUGCACAGCGCCGAGAACAAGGAGAACAUCGCAC